UCUAACAGAGCUGAAUGGCGAAAAAAUAUCCAUAUAACUUACCUCAACUAGUUUGACAUUAAGGCUUAACUGUUAUUGCAUGCAGUUUGUGUUUGCGUGCAAUUGUGCAUACAUGUGGUCAUAAGCAUGGGUAUCUAUAUGUAUUGUGGAUAUAGAGGUGGCCAUAGUUGGUUUGAAACCGGACCGGUACAGCGUGGAACUGAAACUAGUCAAAACAGAAUUUACCGAAGCCAAUCCUGGAUUUGUAGAAACCAACUUGAACUGGAGCAGAACAAACAGGUCUGUUUUUAGGCCAAAACUGAAUUUUUCCCUUAAAAGAAGGGAAAAUUUUGACCAUCGGAUUUGAUCAUUGGAAUAUCACUUGGGGGAACAAGUCCUACAUUGGUGGUGUACUAGAAAAUUAGAAGGCAUAUAAGUACUAGCAAAUCAAACUAAAAUGACUUAGGCCAUUUUGGUGAUGGGGAACCCUAUUUCAAGAGCCCAGUUUCAAGCCUAGUUCAGUGUUUAGCCUGCCAAUUUGAUAUUUACA
rnacentral:misc_RNA from 1 species